AUACCUUUCUCGGCCUUUUGGCUAAAAUCAAGUGUAGUACCUGUUUUUAUUAGUUUAAUAUCUGAUAUGUGGGUCAUGUAUCUAUUUUAACAUUAAAUUUAUUUUUUGUGGGGAGGGGUCACCAAGCCACUGGACUCCUCCAGCGUCGCCCUGCCGUUGCACUGCUGGCAGGGCCUGGCGCACCCCAA